rnacentral:tRNA from 1 species
GGAGAGAUGGCUGAGUGCACGAAAGCGACGGAUUGCUAAUUCGUUGUAGAUUUGUACCGAGGGUUCGAAUCCCUCUCUUUCCG